GACGAACGCUGGCGGCGUGCUUAACACAUGCAAGUCGAACGAAGUGGCGAACGGGGGAGUAAUACGUGGGUAACCUGCCCUCCUUUUUGGGAUAAGCCUUGGAAACGGGGUCUAAUACCGAAUAAAGGGGGAUGGGCUCGCGGCCUAUCAGCUUGUUGGUGGGGUGAUGGCCUACCAAGGCGGUGACGGGUAGCCGGCCUGAGAGGGUGACAGGAGACAUUGCAAUUGAGUUAAGGACAAGAAUCCUACCGGAGGCAGCAGUGGGGAAUAUUGCACAAUGGGCGAAUGCAUGAUGCCGCGUAGCCGCGUGGCGGAUGAGGGCUUUCGGCUUGUACAGAUCUACCGAUAUCGACCGGUUAGGUGGGGAAGAAGCGCCGGCUAACUACGUGCCAGCAGCCGCAGUAAUUC
rnacentral:rRNA from 1 species